rnacentral:piRNA from 1 species
UUAUUGCCUUGAUGGCCUCUCACUGAUCCA